UACGUAGGUGGCAAGCGUUGUCCGGAUUUAUUGGGCGUAAAGCGCGCGCAGGCGGUCUUUUAAGUCUGAUGUGAAAGCCUUCGGCUUAACCGGAGAAGUGCAUCGGAAACUGGAUAACUUGAGUGCAGAAGAGGGUAGUGGAACUCCAUGUGUAGCGGUGGAAUGCGUAGAUAUAUGGAAGAACACCAGUGGCGAAGGCGGCUACCUGGUCUGCAACUGACGCUGAGACUCGAAAGCAUGGGUAGCGAACAGG
rnacentral:rRNA from 1 species